rnacentral:rRNA from 1 species
AGAAUCAACGCUGGCGGCGUGCCUAACACAUGCAAGUCGAACGAGAAAGUGGAGCAAUCCAUGAGUAAAGUGGCGCACGGGUGAGUAACACGUGACUAACCUACCCUUGAGUGGGGAAUAACUUCGGGAAACCGAGGCUAAUACCGCAUAACACCUACGGGUCAAAGGAGCAAUUCGCUUAAGGAGGGGGUCGCGGCAGAUUAGUUAGUUGGCGGGGUAAUGGCCCACCAAGACAGUGAUCUGUAUCCGGCCUGAGAGGGCGCACGGACACACUGGAACUGAAACACGGUCCAGACUCCUACGGGAGGCAGCAGUGGGGAAUUUUGCGCAAUGGGGGAAACCCUGACGCAGCAACGCCGCGUGGAGGAUGAAGUCUCUUGGGACGUAAACUCCUUUCGAUCGGGACGAUAAUGACGGUACCGAGAGAAGAAGCCCGGCUAACUCGCGCCAGCAGCCGC